GAUGAAGAACGCAGCGAAAUGCGAUAAGUAGUGUGAAUUGCAGAAUUCAGUGAAUCAUCGAAUCUUUGAACGCACAUUGCGCCCCUUGGUAUUCCGGGGGGCAUGCCUGUUCGAGCGUCAUUUCAACCCUCAAGCUCAGCUUGGUAUUGAGUCCAUGUCAGUAAUGGCAGGCUCUAAAAUCAGUGGCGGCGCCGCUGGGUCCUGAACGUAGUAAUAUCUCUCGUUACAGGUUCUCGGUGUGCUUCUGCCAAAACCCAAAUUUUCUAUGGUUGACCUCGGAUCAGGUAGGGAUACCCGCUGAACUUAAGCAUAUCAAUAAGCGGAGGA
rnacentral:misc_RNA from 1 species